rnacentral:lncRNA from 1 species
AUUAUACAACAAUUGUUUGUGAAAACGGUGAAUAAAGUUGUCUGCAAACAAACAACAUCAAAGAGGGAAUUCAAGGACAAAAAUUUACAGAAUAUCCAAUCAAAUGCCAACAAACAAAACAUAUCAACUUAAAUGAUGUUGACAAUCACGCUUAUGGAUUGAUAUCCACAACCCUCAUGUUGGAGCUUAUGCCUGACCUCCUGAUCUUUGUUGCAAUGAUUUUGGUCGUCACCAUCUUUAACCCUCGCACAUGUCUUAUCGAUUCUGGAAGGGUCUCCAGAUUCGGACAAUUCUUGAUUUCUAAUUUCUUGAGCGAAAGCGCUAGGCCAUUUUCAACUCGUACAUUUCUCAGAUUCCACAACUCUUCGAUGCACAUGCUGGGAAUAUACCCGCACACGAUCACCAUUUCUUGACCAAUGUAUGCGUUCCGCAACUUGAGGUGUUUUAACUUGGGCAGCUUCUCCAGUAGUGGCAUGGGGUCUUCUUCAAGACAGCUAUUAACCAACUUCAAGGAUUCAAGAUUUGAAGGGAAACUAUUUGGUAACCUGGCAAGGAGUCCAUCCAAUUUGAGUGUCUGAAGCUUUUGUAGAAUACCAAGAUUGUCCAAACAAGGCAUGCUUCUAAAACGAAACCCCUUUAAUAUUAGGUUUUUGAGGUUCCUCAACCGAGCUAAUGAAGCAAAGAGUUUGCUUGCAUCCGUGUUUGCAUUCAUUUCUUCGAUACCCAAUUUGCGAAGCUGAUACAACAUUUUCAAUCCUGAGAGACCAUAUGUCCAAUUAUCAACUGAGAUGUAAGUUAAGGUCUCGAGAUUCUGUAGCGCAUCUAUCUUCAAAGGCUUGCGGCAAAUGACAUGAGACAAGUAGAGGUGGCGAAGGCUACGCAUUUCCCAUAUAAUAUCUGGCACUUCCAUCAUGAAGUUUUGAGCUAUGUCAAGAACUUCAAGUUCUUUCAAGCGCCUCAACAAGUCUGGGAGCUCUUGAAUGUGAUUGUUUCUCAACCCCAAGUAUCUUAGUUUAAUCAAUGUGCCAAUACUCUCCGGUAAAUUCUUCAGCCCAAAAUCUUCCCAGUCAAGUAUCUUAAGUAGUUCAAAACUCUUCCAAUAGGAGGGACUAGUGUCGAAGUAGCCACCUCCAUGGAAGAAGAGAGAAACAAGAUGUUUAUCUUGAUCCGUGGAGUAGUUGAACUUGUCUCGACUACAAAUGAUAACACGAUGGAGUUGAGGACUAUGAUAGGGUCGAUUAUUUCCAUUGCUUCUUAGGAUUUCCAAACCUAUUUCCUCCUCAGCCUUUUUGAUGGAUAACUUGUGUAGUAUAGCAUUCAUGUGAUACCUUGUGUCCUUAUCCUUGCACUCAAUAAAAGAAUCAUCAACUAAUUCUUUUAAAUAGUAUUUAGCAAAAUUUGCUGAACCUCCUGCAGCAACCCAAAUCUGGUCCAACUUUUCUUGCCUCAUGGUUGUAUUUUCCUUAUAGAAGGCCAUCUGUAAGAACAAUGGCUUCACCUUUUCAUCUAAUUUAUGAUAAAACAAAUCCAAUUUCUCCAAAGUUGAACCCAAAUCAAAUGAUUCAAAAAGUUCUUCCCAUUCAAUCCCUAAACAUCUCUUCUUUGCUAACUGUUUUCCCACCUCUUUUAUAGCUAAUGGAAGACCGCAGCAAUAUUUGGUCAACAUCUCUUUUCCUUUCUUCUCCAACUCCUUUGGGAAUUUGUACUCACUUUUCAAUUCAUUGCCACAGCUUAUUGUUUGUAAAAACAAUUGCCAGCUCUUAUUAGAAUCCAAAAAUUCCAUAUCAUAAACUUCAUCAGGGUAGAUUGAAUUUAUAUUUGUCGUAUGACUUGUGAUCACCAAUCUACUUUCUCUGCCUACUACAUAAGAACGUUACAUGAAGAGUGUUGUUAACAAAAAUUUAAUUUGUUAUGGUUUUACGACAAAUAAAUCCCCGAAUUGAAAUCCCUUUCAAAGUCAUGUCGAGCUAAAAAACCAAUUAAGCUAAAAUUUAGGACUUCGAAAAAGUUUCAAAAAACAAGCUAAAAUAUUGCACAAAUUGAAACUAAAACAAUGCGAAAAAAAAAUUACACAUCACUCUCUUCGGAAAUUUAUGAAAACUUGAUAUUUUAGUUUCGUAAAAAAAUCAUACCAAAUUGAAAGUUUAUAUAUUUUCAAACCAAAUUCAAAGUUUGUACAUUUAGGGUGCGUUCUCUUUGUUUGUAAAUUUAUCAUGUGAAAAGGAAGGAUAAACAAAAUUUGACCCUUUAAAUCCUUCCUUCCUUUUUCUACAUUUCCUACUUGACCCUUACUCAUUAAUUCCUCAUUUACACUAUAAAUGAGGGAAAAUAUUAUCACACCAUGUUUUAAGGGAUAUUAUUAUCCUUCCUUUGUAGUGUAAAUGAGGAAUGAGUAAGGGUCAAGUAGGAAAUGUAAAAAAAGAAAGGAAGGAUUUAAAGGGUCAAAGUUAUGUGGGCAUACCUUCACGUGGAAGAGCUUCCAAGAUAGAUCUCAAGUACAUUCUUUUUGGCAUGUCGUCAAGAACUAUGAGAUAUCGCAUUCCUUGUAGGUAUCGGUGAAGCAUUUGUUGGAGACUGCGGUUGUCUGCACGCUCCAUUUUUUCCAACAACGAAUCUCUUCUUUCCAGUUCCUCACUUUUCACUACCUGUUGUAUUAGUUUCAUAAGUAUCUCUUUAAUAGUUAGGUCAGUAACACACAACCAAACACGGCGAUCAAAUCGGGCAACGACGUCCGAAUGGUUGUAUAAUUGUCUGGCAAGAAGUGUCUUCCCAAUACCAGACAUGCCUUUCAGAAGCAGAGUCGAACGACGUGUUUCCUCGUUGAGGAUCCUCGUGCGAAGCAGCUUUUCCACAGCAUCCACCAAUCCCACCACAUCUUCAUCUUCAUCUUCAUCUUCUCCGACGUUUCCUGAGUCUGUCUCCAUCCCCAAUUUAAGUAAGCGCUUUUUGAUUUCUCUGAUCCACUUUAGGGCAGGAUGAAUCUCAGAGAAGUCUUUGUUGAUAGUGUCGAGGGUAACUCGAACCAUCUCGACAACGUCGCAUACGAGAUAAUUGAGGCGUCUCCCCUCUCCCAAUUUCUGGUCUCUCAUUAUAUCCACAAUCAUUCUCAGCUCAUUUAUCAUUUCUGUUUCCUUCUCGGCUUUCAAUUUCCUUUCACCGACGCUGUACUCAGGGGAGCACGUUAGCAACAUGCAAGUGAU